rnacentral:ncRNA from 2 species
UAAUAGCCCGGAUUGCAGUGAAAAUCCUUUUUUUAAUACCGUAGUGCCAACGAAGGAAUUUAAAAAAGAUUGCAACGUAAAGCCGGAAAUAGC